rnacentral:rRNA from 1 species
CGUGGGCAAUCUGCCCUAAAGACUGGGAUACCACUUGGAAACAGGUGCUAAUACCGGAUAACAACAUGAAUCGCAUGAUUCAAGUUUGAAAGGCGGCGCAAGCUGUCACUUUAGGAUGAGCCCGCGGCGCAUUAGCUAGUUGGUGGGGUAAAGGCCUACCAAGGCAAUGAUGCGUAGCCGAGUUGAGAGACUGAUCGGCCACAUUGGGACUGAGACACGGCCCAAACUCCUACGGGAGGCAGCAGCA